UACGGGAGGCAGCAGUGGGGAAUAUUGCACAAUGGGCGAAAGCCUGAUGCAGCUAUGCCGCGUGUAUGAAGAAGGCCUUAGGGUUGUAAAGUACUUUCAUCGGGGAGGAAAAAACAAAACUAAUAAUUUUAUUUCUUGACGUUACCCGAAAAAGAAGCACCGGCUAACUCCGUGCCAGCAGCCGCGGUAAUACGGAGGGUGCUAGCGUUAAUCAGAAUUACUGGGCGUAAAGAGCACGUAGGUGGUUUUUUAAGUCAGAUGUGAAAUCCCUGGGCUUAACCUAGGAACUGCAUUUUGAAACUGAAAUACUAGAGUAUCGUAGAGGGAGGUAGAAUUCUAGGUGUAGCGGUGAAAUGCGUAGAUAUCUGGAGGAAUACCUGUGGCGAAAGCGGCCUCCUAAACGAAUACUGACACUGAGGUGCGAAAAGCGUGGGGAGCAAACAGGGAUUAGAUACC
rnacentral:rRNA from 1 species